UAAAAGAUUUUAUUUUUAGUAUCUCCUGCUCAAUGAAAUUUUAAAUAGCCGCAGUAUGAACUGUGCUAAGGUAGCAUAAUCACUUGCCUAAUAAUUAUAGGAUAGAAUGAAAGGAAAAACAUGUAACAUUCUUUAUCUUUAGAGCUUAUUUAAUUUUCUAUUUAGGUCAAAAUUCCUAAAUUAUAAGGAGGACGACAAGACCCUAUCAAACUUUACAUUAUUGUUUAGCUGGGGUGGCAAUAAAAGGAAGUCUUUUAUUAUUUUUUUUCUACCCAACCCUUAAUGGAGUAACAAGUUACUGUAGGGAUAACAGCACAAUUCUUUACUGAAGAUCUAAUAAAAUAAAGAGUUUGUGACCUCGAUGUUGAAUUAAUAUUCUCUUAGGGGCAGUCCCUUAAAAAGAAAGUCUGUUCGACUUUUAAAAAAUU
rnacentral:rRNA from 1 species